rnacentral:rRNA from 1 species
UCGCUUACAACCAUUACGCCAGCAUCCUAGCCGAAGCGCGGACCUCAGUCCCGGCUGGCCGUAUUACACCCUGGGCUAUAACACCUCCACCGAAGUGGAGGCCACAUUCCCAGAGCCUUUAUCCGGCCGCCGAAACUGAUGCUGGCCUGUCCAAACUGAGUAAACCGGUCAGAAGACCGGCCGAACAGUUUAAACAAGUCUGAUUGCAAGCGCUUCCCUUUCAACAAUUUCACGUGCUUUUUAACUCUCUUUCCAAAGUGCUUUUCAUCUUUCGAUCACUCUACUUGUGCGCUAUCGGUCUCUCGCCAAUAUUUAGCUUUAGAAGAAAUUUACCUCCCAUUUAGAGCUGCAUUCCCAAACAACUCGACUCGUCGAAGGAGAUUUACAUAGGGUGCCAUUUCCUGUCACAUACGGGAUUCUCACCCUCUAUGACGUCCUGUUCCAAGGAACUUAGACAGGCGGCUUCCCCAAAUCAUCCUCUACAAAUUACAAUGCGAACCCGAAGGCUAGCUUUCAAAUUUGAGCUGUUGCCGCUUCACUCGCCGUUACUAGGGCA